rnacentral:rRNA from 1 species
AUUGAACGCUGGCGGCAGGCCUAACACAUGCAAGUCGAGCGGAUGAAGGGAGCUUGCUCCUGGCUUCAGCGGCGGACGGGUGAGUAAUGCCUAGGAAUCUGCCUGGUAGUGGGGGAUAACGUCCGGAAACGGGCGCUAAUACCGCAUACGUCCUGAGGGAGAAAGUGGGGGAUCUUCGGACCUCACGCUAUCAGAUGAGCCUAGGUCGGAUUAGCUAGUUGGUGGGGUAAAGGCCUACCAAGGCGACGAUCCGUAACUGGUCUGAGAGGAUGAUCAGUCACACUGGAACGGAGACACGGUCCAGACUCCUACGGGAGGCAGCAGUGGGGAAUAUUGGACAAUGGGCGAAAGCCUGAUCCAGCCAUGCCGCGUGUGUGAAGAAGGUCUUCGGAUUGUAAAGCACUUUAAGUUGGGAGGAAGGGCAGUAAGUUAAUACCUUGCUGUUUUGACGUUACCAACAGAAUAAGCACCGGCUAACUUCGUG